UUGCUCAGAUAUGACGAUGGACAUUGCAAAGAGUGGCGAACGGGUGAGUAACACGUGGGAAACCUACCUCUUAGCAGGGGAUAACAUUUGGAAACAGAUGCUAAUACCGUAUAACAAUAGCAACCGCAUGGUUGCUACUUAAAAGAUGGUUCUGCUAUCACUAAGAGAUGGUCCCGCGGUGCAUUAGUUAGUUGGUGAGGUAAUGGCUCACCAAGACGAUGAUGCAUAGCCGAGUUGAGAGACUGAUCGGCCACAAUGGGACUGAGACACGGCCCAUACUCCUACGGGAGGCAGCAGUAGGGAAUCUUCCACAAUGGGCGAAAGCCUGAUGGAGCAACGCCGCGUGUGUGAUGAAGGGUUUCGGCUCGUAAAACACUGUUGUAAGAGAAGAAUGACAUUGAGAGUAACUGUUCAAUGUGUGACGGUAUCUUACCAGAAAGGAACGGCUAAAU
rnacentral:rRNA from 1 species